UUUGCUCUCGCCAUUUAAUCGCUGAAAUGUACUUUUUCAGGUCCUAAUGUGCAGCCUCAAAGAAGCAAAAAAGAAGAAGAAGUGAGAAGCACUCUUAAUGAGGUUAAGUCAAGUUUGGGUGUUGCUGUUGUGGUGUGAAUAAGGGAGGCCUGAGGAGGUCACGUUCAAGUCUCCUCUUCUCAGGAGAAGAGAAGCAGACAAGCGCUGCAGGGCGGCUUCAAGCAAGGCGGGACUGAGCCCCAGGCUGGAGGAAGCUGAAACAAACCGCUGGCCGUUAUCCCUCUCGGAUACAAGCCGGAGCUGUGAGUGCUUGAAGACAAUAAUGUCAUUUGAAGAAAACAGCAGGAGUAAUUGCCAAGCUGAGUGUCACUCAUUCAUCUCUGCGUGCUCCACAGGGGGGGGGGCGAGGACAUGUGAGGACCACCUCUGACACGUAACGCAGCUGGCCUUGUUCACAAAGACAACUGGACCUCAAAUCUUCCUCCAGAACUUGCAGUCUCGGAUGUAGCGCUUGGCAUCUGUCUCGUACGGCGAGGUAAAAGCCGCCGCGGCGUUCCCAGACAAGUCCGUAAGUGAAGCACAAUGAGCUGGAAGGCGGCCAAGACGCCUCCGCUGCAAACAUCACACAUUUCCCACGGCACUUUCAACUCAGGGAAGCGGAAUUUGUGUGUAAAGGAAGACAAAGGAGGAGAUGAUUAAAUGUCUCGUAAGCGCGACAAAAGCUAAAGAAGUAAGGGACAAUUGGAUGCUUUUGCUCCUUGGCUCCCCCUGCGGGUUCCAAGUACAUUUUUUUAGUGAAGUUCAUGAAUUGUGGCUUAAAAUGAACAACGUUGGAUGUGAGGUCCAACCAGGCCAAUUAAGCAGGUGAUACAUGGUUACCACGGUAACAAGAGUGAUGCUAUUUUAAUGCUUCAGUCAUUGAAAGAUGUUCUUCCGAUUCACUUUAUCUAAAGGAUUCAUUUUUUAUGAUUAUAA